rnacentral:rRNA from 1 species
UAAACUGGUUGUUGGGUUUUUAAGAAGGACUCAGUAACCGAACCCAAACCCGUGAAAUUGCCCGCCCCGGGGAAGUUCGGCCGCCAAGGUUGGAAUCUCCAAAGGAAAUUUGUCGGGGGGUUCCGCCCCAAGGCGGUGGAAUGAUGGGUUUUAAUUUUGAUGCAACGCGAAAACCUUACCCACCUUCGACAUGGCAGGAAUCCCGAAGAGAUUUGGAAGUGCUCGAAAGAGAACCUGCACACAGGUCCUGCAUGGCCGUCGUCAGCUCGUGUCGUGAGAUGUAGGGUUAAGUCCCCCAACGAGCGCAACCCUUGUCAUUAGUUGUUACGAAAGGGCACUUUAAUGGGACUGCCGGUGACAAACCGGAGGAAGGUGGGGAUGACGUCAAGUCCUCAUGGCCCUUAUAGGUGGGGGUACACACGUCAUACAAUGGCCGGUACAGAGGGUAGCCAACCCCCGAGGGGGAGCCAAUCCCACAAAGCCGGUCGUAGUCUCGGUCGCCGUUUUGCAACUCGACUGCGUGAAGUCGGAAUCGCUAGUAAUCGCGGAUCAGCAUGUCGCGGUGAAUACGUUCCCGGGUCUUGUACACACCGCCCGUCUCACCAUGGGAGCGGGUUCUGCCAGAAGUAGUUAGCCUAACCGCAAGGAGGGCGAUAUACGGCCAUGGUC